AGCAGCCGCGGUAAUUCCAGCUCCAAUAGCGUAUAUUAAAGUUGUUGCAGUUAAAAAGCUCGUAGUUGAAUUUCGGGAUCAAUAUGUUGGUCGUGCCUUGGUACGUACUGGCAUUAUCGACUCCUACCUUCUGAAGAACCUCGAUGUCAUUAAUUUGGUGCCUUGGGGAAUCAGGACUGUUACUUUGAAAAAUUAGAGUGUUUAAAGCAGGCUCGCGCUUGAAUACAUUAGCGUGGAAUAAUGAAAUAGGACGUUUGAUUCUAUUUUGUUGGUUUCUAGGAUCGACGUAAUGAUUAAUAGGGAUAGUUGGGGGCAUUAGUAUUCAAUUGUCAGAGGUGAAAUUCUUGGAUUUAUUGAAGACUAACUACUGCGAAAGCAUUUGCCAAGGAUGUUUUCAUUAAUCAAGAACGAAAGUUAGGGGAUCGAAGACGAUCAGAUACCGUCGUAGUCUUAACCAUAAACUAUGCCGACUAGGGAUCGGAUGAUGUUAAUUUUUAAUGUACUCA
rnacentral:rRNA from 1 species